CCAUUCUGUGACUUUCCCAACCACAAGAAAGAAGAAACAACAACAAAAAAAGAAAGAAGAAGCUACAAGCUCGCUUUUUUCCUUUUCAAAGAAACUAAUUCUUUCUUUCUUCUUUCUCUUUCUUUCUUCUUC
rnacentral:ribozyme from 13 species